AGGAAUAUUGGUCAAUGGACGAGAGUCUGAACCAGCCAAGUAGCGUGAAGGAUGACUGCCCUAUGGGUUGUAAACUUCUUUUAUACGGGAAUAAAGUGGUCCACGUGUGGACUUUUGUAUGUACCGUAUGAAUAAGGAUCGGCUAACUCCGUGCCAGCAGCCGCGGUAAUACGGAGGAUCCGAGCGUUAUCCGGAUUUAUUGGGUUUAAAGGGAGCGUAGGCGGGUGCUUAAGUCAGUUGUGAAAGUUUGCGGCUCAACCGUAAAAUUGCAGUUGAUACUGGAUAUCUUGAGUGCAGUUGAGGCAGGCGGAAUUCGUGGUGUAGCGGUGAAAUGCUUAGAUAUCACGAAGAACUCCGAUUGCGAAGGCAGCCUGCUAAGCUGCAACUGACAUUGAGGCUCGAAAGUGUGGGUAUCAAACAGGAUUAGAUACCCUGGUAGUCCACACGGUAAACGAUGAAUACUCGCUGUUUGCGAUAUACGGCAAGCGGCCAAGCGAAAGCGUUAAGUAUUCCACCUGGGGAGUACGCCGGCAACGGUGAAACUCAAAGGAAUUGACGGGGGCCCGCACAAGCGGAGGAACAUGUGGUUUAAUUCGAUGAUACGCGAGGAACCUUACCCGGGCUUAAAUUGCAGAUGAAUUACGGUGAAAGCCGUAAGCCGCAAGGCAUCUGUGAAGGUGCUGCAUGGUUGUCGUCAGCUCGUGCCGUGAGGUGUCGGCUUAAGUGCCAUAACGAGCGCAACCCUUGUUGUCAGUUACUAACAGGUCAUGCUGAGGACUCUGACAAGACUGCCAUCGUAAGAUGUGAGGAAGGUGGGGAUGACGUCAAAUCAGCACGGCCCUUACGUCCGGGGCUACACACGUGUUACAAUGGGGGGUACAGAGGGCCGCUACCACGCGAGUGGAUGCCAAUCCCAAAAACCUCUCUCAGUUCGGACUGGAGUCUGCAACCCGACUCCACGAAGCUGGAUUCGCUAGUAAUCGCGCAUCAGCCACGGCGCGGUGAAUACGUUCCCG
rnacentral:rRNA from 1 species